AGAGAAGUAACAAUAUUAAUACAAUCGUUCACAAUCACAACAGUUAGCAAUCAGCAAAAUCAGUAACGACAGCAAUCAGCCAAACAGCUGCAAUUAGCAGCAGCAGGAGCAUCAGCAAUCCAUGGCAGCAACUGCAAUUACAGCAAACGAUCAGCAGCAGCUUCCAGAGCACACACAACAACCUCUCUGCCUGCUCAACUCUCAAUCUCUCUCAGCAGUCAGCAGCAAGAUCUCUCUCUUCUCUCAAUCUUUCUCUCCCCGCCGUCCCCGGGCUACCCGCCCCGGCCUCCUAUCCAGAUCGAGCGGCGCAGACCCGAUGCCUCUCCUCUGCCCCUGUGGCCGACGACGAGGCAGGGGAGGGCCCUCUCCUCUCCCCCCUCACCAGAUCGGCGAUGCUCCGCCCACCACGGUUCCUCCUCUCUUCCUCCCAGUGAAAUCACGAUCUACAUGGAUGUCAUCAGCCGCUCACGGGAAACCAUGUAAAGAACUCAUCAGGACUCAGAUCAACAAGAACACAAGGAUGGACAUGAGACAGCCGAUGCGGAAGCUGAGGCGAGAGACAAUGGAAACACACACAUGCCACAUGGAGGGAGAGAGGGAAAAGGCAGUGGAUCAGAUGCCCUCUUCCAUCGUCACUCCGCUGACGAUGAUAGGGUAACCUCACUCAUUCUCUCGUCGUCGGCUAUAUAAAGCUACAGUGCACUAAAGUUGUUGUCAAAAAGUUGAUUUCUUCAAGUUUCAGGUUUGCGUUCGAACAAAAACUCUGGAAUUGGCACUGCUGUUACUCCAGUUUGUAGUGCCAUCCACCUCCUUCUAAAGCAGGAAUUGCAUGAUCUAGUAUAAAGUGUUCGCUGAUUGGGUAGAACCUUAAUGAUUACACAUAUAACCUUAUAGAUUACACAUAUAUAAUACUGUUGGUCCUCGCAUGGUCUCAAUAAUAACAAAUGCUCAUGACAAUCAUGCUUACUUCCUAUAUCCAGAUCAUACAGCCCCACUGUGGAUCAUUAUACUCCAGCGGUGAAACAGUAAAACUAGAGUACUAGAUAUACAAGCCACUGGAAAUCGGGUUUUUUACUUAGAGGAAAUCGGUCAGAGGUUUAUCCUGAUGAGAUUCUUCUUCCAUGAGAAAAGCACACUCCGAUGCAAACCAUCAGUUAUUCAUAACUUAGCGCUGUUGGAGCUAUCGUCUCUACUCAAUAACUACAGAUGCAGCCGCCAAUGAUGAGGUAGUCGCGCAUGUCUUAGUUAAUUAAGCCACUGUGGAAUUACUUUUAAUUAAGUAUGGUUGGAGACUCAAAAGUAGUUGUUUUCCAUAUCCACCGCUUUUCUUUUUAGUACGCACUAUUCCAAUUUGAAAGACUGGUAUUUAAGUACCGGCCAGGCAAUGUCCUAAUCGCCGCCAUCUUUCUCUGCUGCCACUUUGUACUUGAAUUUUGGUACAGUAGGUACUAGACUACUAGUGCUUCUGUUGCAGGUAUCACCACUAUCACAUUUCACUGCACUUGUAUAUAUGCAUUCCGGUUAUUGAUGUAUCUAUGCCACUUAUUUUGGCCUGUCUACGGAGCAUAUGUUUUCAUGAGUAAUAGUAAAAACAUUGCGGUAAAUCCAUUAGUUUCUACCAAUCUUCUCCGAAGGACCAGUGUUCAGCACCUCUUGCCAGAAAUCAGUCCCUGCCCAUUUAAAUCUCCAGGCCGCAUAGCUGGAUUCACCCUCGUCGCCUCCAUGCUGUGUCUUGGUCCGUCCAUGUGCUAACUACAUCCUGCUUGCCAUCACAUGCUUUGGGGUUAUAAGAAUAUUAUUUUUGUUUGAUUGAGUGCAGCUUGUAUGGUCUCAACAAUAGAAAAAUUUCUACAUCAAAAAAACAAUAGAAAAAUUUCGUGAGACCUCACAGGCACAUUCUUGAAACUGUGUUUAUUCACCUAAUUCCCAUUUGCUUCCUUUUUUAAUAUUGACAACCUAACAAAUAAUCGGUUGGUCUGGCCACUGCAUCCAGCACUUCCUUCACAUGCGUUUCCUCACCUUUGUCUGUAGUCUUAAUUUUUUGGUUCUUUGGCCACUUGUUGAAACUUGAUAGUGGACACCUAGUUGGAUAGCUCAUACAACAUGAAAAUCGGAAUCGCAUAUACUCCAUGUAUGGUGACUUGACAGUGUACUACUACUCGAUCAGUAGCUCUUGAGUGUCAUACUCUACAGUGCUGCAGAUAUGUGAUUACUUUCUUCAGAGUGGGGAGAGUUGUUGCAUUGUAGGAUCAAACUCACAACAAUGGCUGAAGGGCCGUUGGACUUCUGGAUUGACUGGGCAAGCCAGAUCGGGGUUCUCAUCAGCUCGGCUGCCAGAAAAGAAA